AACGAACGCUGGCGGCAUGCCUAACACAUGCAAGUCGAACGAGACCUUUGGGUCUAGUGGCGCACGGGUGCGUAACGCGUGGGAAUCUGCCCUUGGGUUCGGAAUAACAGUUAGAAAUGACUGCUAAUACUGGAUGAUGACUUCGGUCCAAAGAUUUAUCGCCCAAGGAUGAGCCCGCGUAGGAUUAGCUAGUUGGUAGGGUAAAGGCCUACCAAGGCGACGAUCCUUAGCUGGUCUGAGAGGAUGAUCAGCCACACUGGGACUGAGACACGGCCCAGACUCCUACGGGAGGCAGCAGUGGGGAAUAUUGGACAAUGGGCGAAAGCCUGAUCCAGCAAUGCCGCGUGAGUGAUGAAGGCCCUAGGGUUGUAAAGCUCUUUUACCCGGGAUGAUAAUGACAGUACCGGGAGAAUAAGCCCCGGCUAACUCCGUGCCAGCCGCCGCGGUAAUAC
rnacentral:rRNA from 1 species